UGGGGGAUAUUGCGCAAUGGGCGAAAGCCUGAUGCAGCGACGCCGCGUGGGGGAUGAAGGCUUUCGGGUUGUAAACCUCUUUCGCUAUCGAACAAGGCCCGCUUAGGGUGGGUUGAGGGUAGGUGGAGAAGAAGCGCCGGCUAACUACGUGCCAGCAGCCGCGGUAAUACGUAGGGCGCGAGCGUUGUCCGGAAUUAUUGGGCGUAAAGGGCUUGUAGGCGGCUUGUUGCGCCUGCUGUGAAAACGCGGGGCUUAACUUCGCGCGUGCAGUGGGUACGGGCAGGCUUGAGUGUGGUAGGGGUGACUGGAAUUCCAGGUGUAGCGGUGGAAUGCGCAGAUAUCUGGAGGAACACCGAUGGCGAAGGCAGGUCACUGGGCCAUUACUGACGCUGAGGAGCGAAAGCAUGGGUAGCGAACAGG
rnacentral:rRNA from 1 species